AGUGAACGCUGGCGGCAGGCCUAACACAUGCAAGUCGAGCGGCAGCGCGGGGGCAACCCUGGCGGCGAGCGGCGGACGGGUGAGGAAUACAUCGGAAUCUGCCUUGUUGUGGGGGAUAACGUAGGGAAACUUACGCUAAUACCGCAUGAGACCGUAAGGUGAAAGUGGGGGAUCGCAAGACCUCACGCGACAAGAUGAGCCGAUGUCGGAUUAGCUAGUUGGUGAGGUAAAGGCUCACCAAGGCAACGAUCCGUAGCUGGUCUGAGAGGAUGAUCAGCCACACUGGGACUGAGACACGGCCCAGACUCCUACGGGAGGCAGCAGUGGGGAAUAUUGGACAAUGGGCGCAAGCCUGAUCCAGCCAUGCCGCGUGUGUGAAGAAGGCCUUCGGGUUGUAAAGCACUUUGUUGGAAGAAUACCUGUCGAUUAAUACUCGGCGGGGAGUGACGGUACCCAAAGAAUAAGCACCGGCUAACUUCGUGCCAGCACG
rnacentral:rRNA from 1 species